AUGUUAGAACGUUCCGGCAAGCAGAGGGCCAGCCACAACCACCGAGCUGGCCUCGUCUCUGGGGCAGUUGGGAACCGGCUUGCACGCUUGAACUUGGCCAGUAGAAAAUUUUGCAGUGGAUUCCAAAAGUAUGUGGUUCCAAACACUUGCUUGGUUCUAGGCACAGUAAGACGUUGUGCUAUAAGGACUGGAGGGGGGCGUCCUGCUGGCACGGAGCCCCAACCCUGCCGCCCGCCCGCCUUGUGGCAUCCGCCCUGCGCAGCAGACAGUGGGUUCGGGCAGGGAGCAGCCCCUUGCACUUGCCGAAGCACUCGUGGUACACACGCACACUGCGCUCGCUGAGCUCCAGGCCCAGCGCCAGGCUGGCCGCCAGCUCCUUCUUGCAGGGCGGCGGGUAGGCGCCGCCGUACAGCAGCGCGUUGCACAGGCGCUCGGCGUCCGUCUUGGUGAUGAGCCCGCACGAGGGCGCCGAGAAGGGCAGGAUGCCCAUGACUUUGAGGAUCUCCAGCUGGUCGGCCGUGCAGCGCGAGCAGUAGAUGUGAAGCUCGUCGCACACCGAGUUGAUCUGUUGCAGCGAGAAGUCGCGCAGCACGGAGUUGAGGAUCUGCGGCAGACACAGCCGCUUCUCGCCGCCCACCACGAAACCCGAGAUGGUCUCGCCC
rnacentral:lncRNA from 1 species